GGAGCUGGGGGUGGCCGCAGAGACCAGCGAGAAGCGACUGUUUACUAAAAACACAGGUCCGUGCGAAGCUGUAAGGCGAUGUAUACGGACUGACGCCUGCCCGGUGCUGGAACGUUAAGGGGACCGGUUAGUCAUUCUUCGGGGUGGCGAAGCUGAGAACUUAAGCGCCAGUAAACGGCGGUGGUAACUAUAACCAUCCUAAGGUAGCGAAAUUCCUUGUCGGGUAAGUUCCGACCUGCACGAAUGGCGUAACGACUUCUCGACUGUCUCAACCAUAGGCCCGGUGAAAUUGCAUUACGAGUAAAGAUGCUCGUUUCGCGCAGCAGGACGGAAAGACCCCGGGACCUUUACUAUAGCUUGAUAUUGGUGUUCGGUUCGGCUUGUGUAGGAUAGGUGGGAGACUGUGAAGCGGCCACGCCAGUGGUUGUGGAGUCGUCGUUGAAAUACCACUCUGGUCGUGUUGGAUGUCUAACCUGGGUCCGUGAUCCGGAUCGGGGACAGUGUCUGGUGGGUAGUUUAACUGGGGCGGUUGCCUCCUAAAGGGUAACGGAGGCGCCCAAAGGUUCCCUCAGCCUGGUUGGUCAUCAGGUGGUGAGUGUAAGUGCACAAGGGAGCUUGACUGCGAGACUGACGGGUCGAGCAGGUGCGAAAGCAGGGACUAGUGAUCCGGCGGUGGCUUGUGGGAGCGCCGUCGCUCAACGGAUAAAAGGUACCCCGGGGAUAACAGGCUGAUCUUCCCCAAGAGUCCAUAUCGACGGGAUGGUUUGGCACCUCGAUGUCGGCUCGUCGCAUCCUGGGGCUGGAGUCGGUCCCAAGGGUUGGGCUGUUCGCCCAUUAAAGCGGCACGCGAGCUGGGUUUAGAACGUCGUGAGACAGUUCGGUCCCUAUCCGCUGCGCGCGUAGGAGUCUUGAGAAGGGCUGUCCCUAGUACGAGAGGACCGGGACGGACGGACCUCUGGUGUGCCAGUUGUUCUGCCAAGGGCAUGGCUGGUUGGCUACGUUCGGGAGGGAUAACCGCUGAAAGCAUCUAAGCGGGAAGCCUGCUUCGAGAUGAGGACUCCCACCCCCAUGAGGGGUUAAGGCCCCCUGUAGACGACGGGGUUGAUAGGCCGGAUCUGGAAGCCCUGUGAGGGGUGGAGGUGACCGGUACUAAUAGGCCGAGGGCUUGUCCA
rnacentral:rRNA from 1 species